rnacentral:lncRNA from 1 species
CAAAAACACCUUCUUCCGACCAAAACAUUGAUUCUGCUCUUAAUCUCCUAGAAGUAUUCUACUCUAACCCUUCACUCUCAAGAUCAGAAAUUGCACCCGUUGUGUUCGAGGAAUUGUUUCUAGUUCAUUUCCUACCUGUUCUUCAAAUUGUCUAAUUACCCAAGUCGUCGCCGACACCAAUUACCGGCCGAGCAGGGGCAACACCGCAGCAGCAGGAUAUUCUAGCCUCUAGGGAGAGUAGUCGGUACCAGCCUACCAAGGUUAGUUGCCCCUGCCCCCUAGUUCCGCCCCUGCUCCUUUUACUGCUGUUAGGUACCAAACCCUAGACCACAUGUUGUUUGAUGUGUAUAUAUGUGUAUUCUGUUGUGUUUGAAUCUGUGGCAUGUGGUUUUUCUUCUUCUUUGCCUCUUUAAUUUUGACUGUUGUUUCAGAGCCUGUGGGUUUCGAUUCAAUUCAAUUUUUUUGUUAAUUUAUGUGGUUCAAAUGUUUGAUGGUGGGUGGUGAGUUUUUUCCGCACACGUUCUUGUGAAACUUCUAUCCCAUUUGACAUUUGUAGAGAAAUAUUGGUGUUCAAGAUUAGGAGAAAAAUGAUUGUUAGUUAGUUACUUGUUUGAAUUGAGGUGUUAAUUGAUGCUGAGGAUUAUAGUCUUUACUUUUCAUUAACUUUGAUUAUUGAUUUAUAUGUUGUUUUUAUUAAUUAGUUGGCAGUUUAUACUGUACAUGUUUGAUGAAAUUCCUCAAUGAGUAUUACUGUAUACUGUUCAGAAAAGAAAUCACCAGUGAUGAUUAUAUUAAGUCAUGAGCUAAGUAGUGUGUCCAUAUUGAUUAAUUAUAAAGUGAAAAAGAACUUUUUAAAAAAGUGGAAAACUGGGAGCCAAGUGGAAUGAUUGACUAAGCUGCCUAAAAAUUGUUCCAUUGGAAAACUAGAAUAUUGUUCUUUGGCUUUUUUUUUAUUGGCUUGUUCUCUGGUCAUUUGGGCAGUAAGGUCACAAUUAUCCAUUGAUAAUGUAUUUGUUUAUUUUUCAUUUUUACAUUUUUGAGUUUGGGAAAAGCAACUGGUGAUUCAAUUUAUUAAUCACCGCACCCAAAACUAAACAAUGGAUAAGCAGUCAUGUAACUAGUAGAAGGAGAAUGCAAUUGAUUUGACUGUCAGUUGUGCCAUUAAUGUGUGAUUUCAUGAUUUUUAUGUGAUUUAUAUACAUGAGGAGAGGAUGUAUGUGACGUUUCACUGAAUGAUUGCUGCUGGAUAAUUUUUUCACAUAGUUGUGCUAAUUAAAUCAUUUGCUAUAGUUUUACAAGAGCAAGAUGUUGAGAAUAAAAUUAGAAGUCAUGCUUUGAAGUGACAUAAUUUGGCAGGUAUUCUAGUACUUUGUCCCUAUGCACACAUCAUGUCAGGAUUUCUUAUUGCUAAAACUCAGAAGAUCUUAACAAACUUUGCACUAAAUAAUUUCCAAUAAACUACUGUACAAACCAGGAAAGAAUUUGAUAAUCUGUCAUAUAAAAGGACUAUUCCUCUCUUUUCCAGUUCAAACUGUCAUUAUGGGCAAGGAAGGUUUAUUGGGAAGGGACCUUAUAUGCUACUGGUGUGGAAAUCUACAUGUGUAUCAUAGGGAUUAGGUAUAUGAACAUGUAGGUGGAACUGCAUUAACUUGAAAUUGGACAUUACUUGAAAGGAAUUCAUUUGUUUAUCUAUGUAUUCUUGAAAUAAAUUUGUAAAAGCAAGUGUCCUUGCCAUUUACCAGGGAUGUCCAAAUGUAGGCUUAAUAUAGAUUCUCAUUGCUGCCAUGGUUCACAGUUUACUGCAGAUCAGGAUCAUGACUCUGGAAUAGAUCAGGAUUUUACUCUAGAAUAUGAUAUGAUAUGAUAUUGAAUCAAUAUAUAUCUUUUUAUUAAUGUCUUUUUAGUAAUCUUUACAUUUGAUUUUAACUUAUAAGUCAUUAUUAGCCGAACACAUUCAUAACUUAUUUUAACUUAAUUUUUGACUUAUAAUUGAUGCUGAACGCUUUUACGUACAAGUCACAACUUAAAAUAACUUCUAAGUCAACUUAUAUUUUAACUUUAAAUAAGUCGUUUCCGAACUUUCUCAGUAACCAAUCCAUGUGUGUGACAUAACCGACCGUUCUGAUGGUGGUGGACUAGUGGGUUAUAGUUUCACCUGCAAUGCAGAAGAAAGACAAUUCUAGACAGCUAAGAACUGUAUUUAAUAAAGGGCGAUACAAAGAUAGAAAAUUUUCUAUUAAUGAUUUACGGACUCAGUCAUCAAAACAUACACUUGAAACCCAUUUUAGUAGAGGGUUUCUGUCCAAAACUACAUAUGAUGAUUAAUGUGACUGUACAGAUGAACAAGAAGCAUCACUACACAGAUGCCAACAAUAAAAGGUAAAUGUACAUAUAUUUAAUAAGCUUGGACUUUCUCAGUAACCAAUCCAUGUGUGUGACAUAAUUAUCUUAUUUAGUGUCAUUAUUAAAUUUACAGGAUUUGUACAAAAAUGACUAUUUGAUGAAUACACUUUAUGAAUAUGGUUUGUUCAGUUUAAAAUAUGUGGCAGUGUUUGCUUUUGCCAUUAUUCUCAAUGAUUAUAUGAUAAAUACACUUGCAUAUAUUUUGUUCAGUUUAGUAUGUGCGGAACUUUUCUCUUUUGCUAUUGUUCUGUCUUAUUAUUUCCUCUUUGAUUUCUGUAUUAAUUACCCUCUUGUUUGUGGCCUUUUCUGGAUUGCUGGUGUGAGCUCUGAAAUGCAUUAGAUAGAUUUUUUAAGGAGCUUUUGUUACAGUUGGAUUGCAUCAUUGAAGCUCAGUGUUAUUUGUUUGAUCAGAUUUUGUUCAGUUGGUUAACUAGAGAUUAUAAUUUUUGAGGUAUUACCUGUAGAGAUGUUCUGUGAGCUAAAAGGCAGCUUGAGCUGAAUGCCAGGUUUGUCUGGCCUUCAGUUUAAUCAGAACAGUUCUUUCAUUAUAUAAAAAGAUAUGUGGCUUGGCAUCCACUAGGAAGGACCCGUCAUGAGUUUGGAUGACCUCGGUGAAAGGUUGACUAAUCAAUAAGAUACAGGAUGUAAUAUUCAAGUAGCUUUCCUCUAUCGAGCUCAUAUACUCUUUGGGGAAAUAAUAUUCAGUUCAUUGAAAAGAGUUGAAGGGGUUUGAAUGAUCCAUAAUUGGGGUUAAAUCACUUUUUUCCCAUUGAACUGAACCUCAAUUUACAUUUGCAUCACUGAAUUGAUUUUUUAUCCCUUCGACUCAUUAAACUACAUUUUUUUUACAAAUCGUUACAAAAUCUGUUAAGGUUUUUGACUUUUAACGGAAUAACCAGCACAUAGGACCCAUUUUGUG